GUACAGGGAAGACUAUCACAUGUGAGCUGGAAGGCUGCCAACAUGGAGACACGCAGAGAGAAAGCUAAUCCUCUCUGGGCUCUGCGGGACUAGGCAGCAGCAAAUGAGUUGCCUCCAAAAUGUUCCUAAGGGGGUGGGCAACAUUCCCUGAAUCUCAGGCAACAAAUUAAUCCCUUCUUUACCACUGCUAAGUGAGCGAAAUGUCAAGAAGCUGUAAGUAGGAAAAAAAGACAAGCUUCUGAACAGGAGAAACCAGUAUUGCUGAAGAUAUUUCCAUAAAGAUUUGCUAAGAACAAAGAACACAGGGUGCCUCCUACAAUGGAAGUUCACUUGACAACAUAAGUGGAGGUAGUGGGGUUUGCACUGGUGGCACAGAAAUAGCCAUUCUCUGUUUGGCAUCCUGUGCUUCAUGAGUCAUGGAAGAAACGCAUGAGGAAAAAAGCUUUAGAGGCAAGCGUAUAUUGUAUGCUAGGAAUGUAAAGAAAUGCACGGUGAUUGUGUUGCUAUGAACAAUCUGAAGAUUUAUUCUUAUACUGUUUCCAGUUGGGUUAGGUGUAGUACAAACACAAGUACGCGUUUAUUCAGAUUCCAAUUUGAAUGUGGCAUCUCAGGCUUAUUCCCCACUAAACAUGGUCAGUUUUUUCCCUAGCACAGAAAGACAAUUGUAAGAAACAAGAAUUCAGGAAAAAAAAUAGUGGGCUUCUAUAUCCCUUUUUUAACUUGUCACUGUGGGAGGAAUUGAUAAUUUCUCAUGUCUGUCAUAUGAACAUCUAACUAUCUCUACAACACACAGAAGGAACUCUGUUUUGAAAUCCAUUUUCUAACAGAAAUAUAAGAGAAGUUAAUCUACCAUCAAUUAUUCACUUCAAGUAAACAAAUAUUCUCACGUAUACACAUUUUAAAUAGUGAAUACAGCAAGUAAAUACACUGGGCAAUUGACAUAAAUUAAUCUUUUAAAAAAUCAAGUAAAAUGAUAGAAAAUAAUGUCAUUCAAAAUCUGAGCAUAAUCAUUAGCCUAGUACAAUUUGCACAUCCCUGGAUUAAAAUGUUGAACUAUCAUAAAGGCAAAGAUACACUAUCACAAAAUAAUCAUAUUAAUACUAUUUGAAUCCAAAGAUGGAACAGCACAGAACAGAUUUGAUAAUAAACUGUGAGUUCUGAUAACUUUGCCAGCAGCUUCAGAAUCUAUUGUAAUAAAACUGCAAAUGUCAAGACUCCUCAACUUUCCAGUUUAAAGAAUCCUUUUUGAGAAGCAUCAAGCAAAUGAGGCUUACUUAACAAUACUGGUUCUUGCAAUGUAAAAAACAAAAUGUUACUUGUUUUUAAAGGAGCCAUGCAUUCAUAAAACUCAAUAUUAUUCCUUAAUGGAAAUAGAUAUCAUGACUGUUCAUUCUUCUUUCUCCUUCUUUCCACUACUUAGAUGAAAAACCAUGGGUCAAUUGUCUUCUGCAAAUAGGCAAGAAUAUAAACAGUUCUUAGCUACCUAAUUGGAACAUUGAGAUUUUUUUUUUUUGCUCUAUACUGAUAAAAACAUCAAUAUUAACAGAUCACAGCCAAGAUAUUAGGGAAAUAAGAACAUAUCAGAGUUUGUUAUACUGAACUCAAACUUUCCAAUACUAAUAUAGGGUGAGAUUCCUUAAUAUUCUGUUAUUUAAAAGUGACAUGAAAGUUUUUGAAAAGGGAGAGAAAAAAAGUUCAAAAGAAACAGGAAGUUGGUGCUGCAACAGAUAGAGUUAAGAGUUAUGUAAUUUCUUUACUGGGACGUGGAUAGGACAGCACAUGCUUGCUGAUUAACUAAAAAUAGAAUAAUCCCAAUUACAGCCACACUUCAACUUUUUCCUAGGUUUCAUGUUUCAUGAGCUCACAGAGAACUCAUGAAUGGAGAAGGUGGGAAGAAAGAGACAGAAGACCAAACAGCAAGAGAUUAUUUUAUUUUUCUUCUAAUUUAGAGAACAUAAAAUCAAAAAAAAUCUUCUUUCCUACUCUAAUUUUCUAGGUUGUUAUAUUUCAGAUCUGAGUAGGCUGUUCUAGAUUAUUUGCUUUUAAGAUCCAUAUUUUCCAAUGUGAACAUAAAAUAGAGUAAAGAAAUGAAAAUCUGCUGUUUUGAUUAGUUUUACAAUAAUCACUUAAACAAUGCAAAGAAAACAAUAGUUUACCAAUGGCUACUUUAAAAAUUAACAGACUUUGUAGAACUAAUUCUAGAUGUGGCCAGCAUAUAAAACAUGUUUGAACACCAUACAUUUACAAAUAAAAAUUAGAAAACUAACAAUGGUUGUUCUUAUUCAGUACAUUGGAGGUUUGGCUAACCAUCUUUCAGCACUUGUUUUCUGUAUUUACAUCUUUUUUCCUACAUACAUGAAAUAUAUCCAUAUAAUCUUUUCCUAAGAAUAGGGGGAAAUGAAAUAAAAUAAAAGGCAUGCUCUGUCAUAGUAAUCAUGGCUUUUAUUGUAAGGUUUAAAAUGAAGCAUGAACAUUCAACCAAUCAUGCUUGCAGUUUUAGUUUUGAAGAGCUGGCACUCUUCAUAGCCAUAUUUAUAGAAUGACAUGUAUGCAAAAUAAAGAAAAAAAGACUGAGGAGAAAUAUAUCCACACACAUGCAUACUGCAUCUUUUAAUCUUACAUACAUAUUCAUAUUCUGUUAUAUGAUCAAAUUAUUAACAUCUAGCAAUAAACAUCAGGAAAAAAGUAUAAAAUUAAUCCAAUAUAUAACCCAAAUUUCUAAGUAGCAAUUCCUUAGAAGUAUUUUCUGUUAUAAAAUACAUUACCAAUAUACAGAGAUUUUACUACUUUUAAAUUUGUAUUUUGAUUAUGUACUGUCAAAUUUUUGUCGUCUGUUAAUGUGAAACUAAUGAACAAAAUACUAGUUUUACAAAUUUUCAACAUAAUUUUAUAGCUUUGAUAAACAUAGCAAAAAAAUGGGGAAAGGGAAAAGAAAAAUGAAAAAUGAUCUGAAAAUUAGCUUAUAAGCAGAACUUCAAAACUUUCACCAUGUUGCUAAGUUUUCUUGCUUUUCCCUUUGUUGAAAAAAGACUGAUUUAAAUAUUGACAAAGAACAUGUGUCACAUUUUAUUACUGAACAUGAAAGGAUAAUUGAAACAUUUCUGUAAAAGCUGAAAUGGAAUGAGAAAUAGAAGCCAUGAUAAAAUAACAAUUGCAUGUCAUUAUAUGGGAAAGAUAUUCAAAUUUAUAUUUGUAGUUAUUAAAGGAGAAAAUGACAAUGAAAUUGCUAUAAAUAUUAUCAUAGAAUAAUGGUAGCAAAGCAGAUAGAGAACGUAUUAAAUCUGCUAUCAAAAACUUUCUCUGGUAAUCAAGACAGCAAAGAAAUAAAAGUGGGUGUCCUGAGUAAAUGAAAGUUAAAACUUACCACUUAGCUCUUUUCACCUACCAUGUAUUGAAACAACAGGAUACCCCAUCAUUUUUGUCUGAGUCCUAAUCAUCUAUGUCCGUGAACCUAUGGCAUGUAUGCCGGAAGUGGCAUGCAGAGCCAUUACUGCU